AUACGGAGGGUGCAAGCGUUAUCCGGAUUCAUUGGGUUUAAAGGGUGCGCAGGUGGGAAAAUAAGUCAGUGGUGAAAUACUGCCGCUUAACGGUAGAAUUGCCAUUGAUACUGUUUUUCUUGAGUAUGGUUGAGGUAGGUGGAAUGUGUUGUGUAGCGGUGAAAUGCAUAGAUAUGACACAGAACGCCGAUUGCGAAGGCAGCUUACUAAGCCAUUACUGACGCUGAGGCACGAAAGCGUGGGGAUC
rnacentral:rRNA from 1 species